rnacentral:rRNA from 1 species
AAUAUAUCGGAACGUGCCCAGUCGUGGGGGAUAACGUAGAGAAAUUUACGCUAAUACCGCAUACGAUCUAAGGAUGAAAGCGGGGGACCGUAAGGCCUCGCGCGAUUGGAGCGGCUGAUAUCAGAUUAGGUUGUUGGUGAGGUAAAAGCUCACCAAGCCGACGAUCUGUAGCUGGUUUGAGAGAACGACCAGCCACACUGGGACUGAGACACGGCCCAGACUCCUACGGGAGGCAGCAGUGGGGAAUUUUGGACAAUGGGCGAAAGCCUGAUCCAGCAAUGCCGCGUGCAGGAAGAAGGCCUUCGGGUUGUAAACUGCUUUUGUACGGAACGAAACGGCUCUUUCUAAUAAAGAGGGCUAAUGACGGUACCGUAAGAAUAAGCACCGGCUAACUACGUGCCAGCAGCCGCGGUAAUACGUAGGGUGCGAGCGUUAAUCGGAAUUACUGGGCGUAAAGCGUGCGCAGGCGGUUAUGUAAGACAGUUGUGAAAUCCCCGGGCUCAACCUGGGAAUUGCAUCUGUGACUGCAUGGCUAGAGUACGGUAGAGGGGGAUGGAAUUCCACGUGUAGCAGUGAAAUGCGUAGAGAUGUGGAGG